rnacentral:rRNA from 1 species
UACAGAGGUCUCAAGCGUUGUUCGGAUUCAUUGGGCGUAAAGGGUGCGUAGGCGGCGCGGUAAGUCGGGUGUGAAAUCUCGGAGCUUAACUCCGAAACUGCAUUCGAUACUGCCGUGCUUGAGGACUGGAGAGGAGACUGGAAUUUACGGUGUAGCAGUGAAAUGCGUAGAUAUCAAGAGGAACACCAGUGGCGAAGGCGAGUCCCUGGACGAUACCUGACACUGAGGCACGAAAGCUAGGGGAGCAAACAGG